rnacentral:rRNA from 1 species
UGGGGAAUCUUCCGCAAUGGGCGAAAGCCUGACGGAGCAACGCCGCGUGAGUGAAGACGGCCUUCGGGUUGUAAAGCUCUGUUAUACGGGACGAAUAAUCUUGUGGUUAAUACCCAUAAGAAGUGACGGUACCGUAAGAGAAAGCCACGGCUAACUACGUGCCAGCAGCCGCGGUAAUACGUAGGUGGCAAGCGUUGUCCGGAAUUAUUGGGCGUAAAGGGCGCGCAGGCGGCUUCUUAAGUCUGUCUUAAAAGUGCGGGGCUUAACCCCGUGAUGGGAUGGAAACUGGGAAGCUCAGAGUAUCGGAGAGGAAAGCGGAAUUCCUAGUGUAGCGGUGAAAUGCGUAGAUAUUAGGAGGAACACCAGUGGCGAAAGCGGCUUUCUGGACGAAAACUGACGCUGAGGCGCGAAAGCCAGGGGAGCGAACGGG